UUGGGGCAUAGGGUUUAGGUUUUAGGGUUUUAGGGUAUAGGGUUUAGGGUAUAGGGUUUAGGGUUUAGGGUAUAGGGUUUAGGGUAUAGGGUUUAGGGUAUAGGGUUUAGGGUAUAGGGUUUAGGGUUUAGGGUUUAGGGUAUAGGGUUUAGGGUUUAGGGUUUAGGGUUUAGGGUAUAGGGUUUAGGGUUUAGGGUAUAGGGUAUAGGGUAUAGGGUAUAGGGUUUAGGGUUUAGGGUAUAGGGUAUAGGGUUUAGGGUUUAGGGUUUAGCGUUCUAGGGUUUUAGGGUUUAGGCGUUUAGGGUUUAGGUUUAGGUUUUAGGGUUUAUGGUUAGGUUUAGGGCUUUAGGUUUGAGGGUUUAGGUUUAGGGUUUAGGGUUUAGGUUUUAGGGUUUUAGGGUUUAGGUUUAGGUUUAGGGUUAGGUUUAGGUUUUAGGUUUUAGUUUAGGGUUUUAGGGUUUUAGGUUAGGGUUUAGGUUUAGUCCGUUUAGGUUUAGGUUUUUAGGUUUAGGGUUUUAGGGUUUAGGGUUUAGGUUAGGUUAGGUUAGGGUUUAGGUGUAGGGUUUAGGGUUAGGGUUAGGUUUAGGGGUUUAGGGUUAGGGUUUAGGGUUUAGGGGUUUAGGGUUUAGGGUUUAGGUUGGUAGGGUUGUUAGGUUUAGGGUUAGGGUUUAGGGUUGGGUUAGUUAGGGUUUAGGGUUUAGGGUUUAGGGUUUUAGUUUAAGGGUUUAGGGUUUAGUUUUAGGGGUUAGGUUUAGGUUUAGGGUUAGGGUUUAGGUUUAGUAGGGUUUUAGUUUAGGGUUUAGGUUAGGGUUUAGGUUAGGGUUUAGGGUUUAGGGUUUAGCGGUUUAGGGUUUAGGUUUUAGGGUUAGGUUAUUUUAGUGGGUUUAUGGUUUAGGUUUAGGGUUAGGUUAGGUUUAGGUUUAGUUUAGGUUAGGGUUAGGGUUUAGGGUUUAGGGUGUUAGGUUUAGGUUUAGGGUUUAGGGUUUAGGGUUUAGGUUUAGGUUUAGUAGGGUUUAGGGUUAGUUUAGGGUUUAGUUUAGGGCUUUAGGUUUAGGUUUUAGGGUUUAGGUUAUUUUAGGUUUAUUUAGUUUAGGUUUAGGGUUUAGUUUAGGUUUAGGUUUUAGGUUUAGGGUUAUGGUUAGUUAGUUUAGUGUUUAGUUUUAGUUUAGGGUUUAGGUUUAGGUUUAGGUUUAGUUUAGUUAGGGUUGUUAGGGUUUAGGUUUAGGGUUUUAGGGUUUAGGGUUUAGUUUAGUAGGGUUUAGUUAUUUAGGGUUUAGGGUUUAGGUUUAGCGGUUUAGGGUUUAAGGUUUCUAGGGUUUAGGUUUAGGGUUUCAGGUUAGCGGUUAGGUAGGGUUUAGGGUUUAGGGUUUAAGGGUUUACGGUUUAGGGUUUAGGGUUUAGGGGUUUAGGGUUUCUAGGGGUUUAGGGUUAGGUUUAGGGGUUUAGGGUUUAGGUUUUGUAGUUUAGGGUUUUAGGUUUAGGGUUUAGUGUUUAGGAGUUUAGGUUUUUAGGGUUAGGGUUUAGGGUUUAGGGUUUAGGGUUUAGGGUUUGAGUUGUAGUUUUUAGGGUUUAGGGUUUUAGGGUUUAGGGCUUUUAGGCGUUUUAGGUUCUAGGUUUAGGGUUAGGGUUUUAAGGUUCUAGGGUUUAGCGGUUUGGGUUUAGGGUUUUAGGGUUUAGGGUUAGGGUUUUAGGUUUUUAGGUUUAGGGUUUAGUGUUUAGGGUUUAGGUUUAGGCGUUUUAGGGUUUAGGUUUAGGGGUUUCAGGGUUUUAGGGUUUAGGUUUAGGUUUUUAGGGUUUAGGGUUUAGGGGUUUUAGGUUUUUUAGGGUUUAGGGGUUUAGGUUUUAUGGUUUAGCGGUUUAGGGUUUAGGGUUUAGGGUUUAGGGUUUAGGUUAGGGUUUUAGGGUUAGGGUUUAGGGUUAGGGUUUAGGGUUUAGGGUUUAGGGUUCUAGAGGUUUAGGGUUUAGGGUUUAGGGUUUUAAGGUUUAGGGUUUAGGGUUAGAGUUUAGGGUUUAGGGUUUAGGGUUUAGGGUUUAGGGUUUAGGGUUUUAGGUUUAGGGUUUAGGUUUAGGUUUAGGUUUAGGGGUUUAGGGUUUAGGUUUAGUUAGGGUUUAUAUGGGUUUAGGGUUUAGGGUUUAGCGGUUUUAGGGUUUAGGGUUUAGCGGUUUUUAGGGUUUUAGGGUUUUAGGGUUUACGGGUUUAGGGUUUAGGGUAGGGUUUAGUGUUUAGGGUUAGGGUUUAGGGUUUAGUUUUUUAGGGUUUAGGGUUCUAGGGAUUUAGGUUAGGGUUUUAGGUUUAGGUUUAGGGUUUAGGGUUUACGGGUUUAGGGUUUAGGGUUUAGGGCUUUAGGGUUAGGGUUUAGGUUUAGGGUUAGGGUUUAGUUUAGGGUUUAGUUUAGGUAUAGGGUUUAGGUUUAGAGGUUUAGGGUGGUUAGGGUUUAGGGUUAGGUUUAGGUUUAGGGUUUAGGGUUUAGGGUUUAGGGUAUUUUUUUUAGGGUUUAUGUGGUUUAGCGUUAGGGUAUAGGGUUUAGUUUUAGGGUUUAGGGUUUUAGGUUUAGGGUUUAGCGGCUUUAGGUUUAGGGUUAGGUUUAGGUUUAGGGUUCUAGGUUUAGGUUUGGGUUUUAGGUUAGUUUAGGUUUAGGUUUAGGUUUAGGCGUUUAGGGUUUAGUUAAGGUUUAGGGUUUAGGGUUAGGGUUAGUUUUAGGUUUAGGGUUUACCUCCGCUCAUGUUUAGGGUUUAGUGGUUUUAGGUUUAUUAGGGUUUAGGGGUUUUAGGGUUUAGGGUUUAGGGUUAGGUUUAGGGUUUAUGGUUUGGGUUUUAGGGGUUUAGGGGUUUUAGGGUUUUAGGGUUUAGGGUUUUAGGGUUUUUUAGGGUUUAGGGUUUUAGUGUUAGGGUUUAGGGUUUAGGUGUAGGGUUUAGGUUUUAGGUUUAGGUUUAGGGUUUAGGGUUUUAGUAGGUUUUAGGGUUUAGGGUUUUAGGGUUUAGGUUUAGGUUAGGGUUUUAGGGUUUGAGGUUUAGGUGUUACGGGUUUAGGUUUAGGUUUAGGUUUAGGGUUUAGGGUUUAGGUUUAGGGUUUUUAGGUUUAGGGUUUAGGUUUAGGGUUAGGGUUUUAGGGUUUAGGGUUUAGGGUUUAGGGAUUUAGGGUUUAGGGUUAGGGUUUAGGGUUUAGGGUUUUAGGUUUAGGGUUAGCGGUUUAGGUUUUAGUCGUUCUAGGGUUUAGGGUUAGGGUUUAGGGUUUAGGUUUAGGGUUUUUAGGGUUUAGGUUUAGGGUUUAGGUUUAGGGUUUAGGUUUAGGUUUAGUUUAGGGUUUAGGGGUUUUAGGGUGUUAGGUUUAGGGUUAGGUUUAGGUUAGGUUUUAGGUUUAUGUUUAGGUUAGGGUUUUAGCGUUUAGGGUUUAGGGUUUAGGCGUUUAGGUUUAGGGUUUUAGGGUUUUAAGGGUUUAGGGUUUUAGGGUGUUAGGGUUAGGGUUUAGGGGUUUUAGGGUUAGGGUUUAGGGUUUAGGUAGGUUUAGGGUUUAGGGUUUAGGUUUUAGGGUUUAGGGUUUUAGCGGGUUUAGGGUUUAGGGUUAGGGUGUAGGGUUUAGGGUUUAGGGUUGUAGGGUUUAGGUUUAAGGUUUUAGGGUUUAGUUUAGUUUAGGGUUUAGGGUUAGGUUUAGGUUUUAGGUUUAGGUUUAGGUUUAGGGUUUAGGUUUAGGGUUUAGGGUUUAGGGUUUAGGGUUUAGGGUUUAGGGUUUUAGGGUUUAGGUUUAGGUUUAGGGUUUAGGGUUUAGGGUUUUAGGUUUAGGGUUUUAGGUUUAGGUUUUAGGGUUUAGGGUUUAGGGUUAGGGUUUAAGGGUUUAGGGUUCUAGGGUUUAGGGUUUAGCGUUUUAGGGUUUAGCGUUUAGGGGUUUAGGGUUUUAGGUUUAGGGUUUAGGGUUUUAGGGUUUAGGGUUAGGUUUUAGGGUUCUUAGGUUUAGGGUUUAGGUUUUAAGGGUUUAGGGUUUUUAGGGUUUAGGGUUUAGGGGUUUUAGCGGGUUUAGGGUUUAGGGUUUAGCGGUUUUAGUUUAGGGUUUCAGGGUUUAGGUUUAGGUUAGGGUUAGGGUUUAGAGGGUUUAAGGGUUAGGUUUAGGGUUUAGGUUUAGGUUUUAGGGGUUUAGGGUUUAGGGUUUUAGGGUUUAGGGUUUAGGGUUUUAGGGUUUAGGGUUUAGGUUUAGGGUUUAGGGUUUAGGGUUAGGGUUUGAGUUAGGUUUAGUUUUGGGUUUUAGGGUUUAGGUUUAGGUUUAGGUUUAGGGUUAGGGUUUAGGUUUAGGGGUUUUAGGUUUAGGUUUAGGGUUUAGGUUUAGGGUUUUAGGGUUUAGCGGUUUCAGGGUUUAGGGUUUUAGGGUUUAGCGGUUAAGGGUUUAGGUUUAGGGUUUAGGUUUAGGGUUUAGGGUUUAGGGUUACGGGGUUUAGCGGUUUAGGGGUUUAGGUUAGGUAGGGUUUAGGGUUUAGGGUUUAGGUUAGUUUAGGUUUAGUGUUUAGGUUUAGGGUUAGGGUUUAGGGUUAGGCGUUUUAGGGUUUAGGGUUUAGGGUUUAGGUUUCUUAGGGGUGUAGGGUUUAGGGUUAGGGUUUUAGGGUUUAGGGUUUUAGGUUUAGGUUAGGGUUCUAGGUUAGGUUUAGGGUUUAGGUUUUAGUUUAGGGUUUAGGGGUUUAGGGUUUAGGGUUUUAGGGUUUUAGGGUUUAGGGUUUAGGUUUUAGGUUUAGGGUUUAGGGUUUCGGGUUUAGGGUUUAGGUUUAGGGUUUUAGGGUUUAGGGUUAGCCGGUUAGGUUUAGGGUUUAGGGUUUAGGGGUCUAGGUUUUAGGGUUUAGGGUUUAGGGUUUAGCGGUUUAGGUUAGGGUUUAGGGUUUAGGGUUUAGGGUUUAGGUUUAGGGUUUAGGGUUUAGGGUUUAGGUUAGGGUUUAGGUUUAGCGGUUUAGGGGUUUUUUAGGGUUUAGGGUUUUUAGUGGUUUAGAGGUUUUUAGCGGUUUUAGGGUUUUAGGGUUUAGCGGUUUAGGGUUUAGGGUUUAGGGUUUAGGGUUUAGUGUUUAGGUUUAAGGGUUUAGGUUAGGGUUAGGUUAGGGUUUAGGUUUAUGGGUUUAGGUUAUAGGGUUUAGUAGGUUUAGGGUUUAGGUUAGGGAUUUAGGGUUUAGGUUUAGUUUUAGGGUUUAGAGUUUAGAGUUUAGGGUUUAGGGUUUAGGGUUAGUUAGGGUUUAGGGUUUAGGGUUUAGGGUUUAGGGUUUAGUUUGGUUAUAGGGGUUAGGAGUUUAGGUUUUAGGGUUUAGAGGUUUAGGGUUAGUGGAUUUUAGGGGUUUAGGUUUAGUGUUUAGGGGUUUAGGGGUUUAGAGUUAGGGUUUAGGGUUUAGGUUUAGGGUUUAGGUUAUAGGUUUAGUGUUAGGGUUUAGUUUAGGGUUUAGGGUUUAGAGAGUUUAGGUUUAGGUUUAGGGUUUAGGGUUUAGGGUUUAGGUUUUAGGGUUAGGGGUUUAGAGGUUUUAGCGUUUAGGGUUUAGCGGGUUUAGGGUUUAGGGUUUAGGAGUUUUAGAGGUUAUGGUUUAUAAGGGUUUUAGGUUUAGAGGUUUAGGGUUGUAAGUUUAGGGUUUAGUGUUUAAGGGUUUAGCGGAAUUAGAGUUAGGGUUUAGAAAUUUAGUUUUAGGUUAGGGUUUAGAGGUUUUAAUGGGGUUUAAGGUUAGGUGUUUAGUGGUUGGGUUUAGAGGUUUAGUGGUUUAGGUAUAGGGUUUCAGUGGCACGGGUUUAUGGUUUCCAGGGUUUUAGGGAUUAGGUUUAGGGCUUUAGGUGGUUUGUUGUGUAGUCUGCCAGGCGCGCGUAUUCAUUUUCUAGAGAUUUAGGGUUUAGGGUUUAGGUUUAGGGUUUAGGUUUAGGGUUUAAGGAUUAGGUUUAGGGUUUAAGGGUUUAGGUUUUGGUUAGGGUUUAGGGUUUUAGAGGUUUAGUGGUUGAGGGUUUCAGGGUUUAGUGGUUUAGGGUUAUAGAGGUUUAGUAUUAGGGUUUAGGUGUUAGUUUAGGUUUUAGGUUUAGGGUUGUAUGAGGUUAGGGUUUAGGACGUUAAGGGCUUUAGGGUUUAGGGGUUUUAGAGGUUUAGGGUUUAGCCGGUUUAGGGUUUAGGGUUUUGACGCGUUUAGCGGGUUUCAGGUUUAGGGUUUACGCGGUUUAGAGGUUAUAGGUUCUAGGGUUUAGGUUUAGGGUUUAGCGGUUUAGGGUUUAGGGCUUAGGAGGUUUAGGAGGUUUAGGGUUAGUCAGGUUUAGGGUUUUUAGGGUUUAGAGUUAGGGUUUAGGGUUAGUGGUUUAGGGUUUAGGUUUUAGGCUUAUAGGGUUUAGGUUUGCAGAGGUUUAGGGUUAGGGGUUUAUUCAACCGUGGUUUAGGGUUUAGGGUAUUAGGGGUCUUAGUGUUUAAUGCGGUUUACGGGUUUUAGAGUUAUAGGGUUUUAGGGUUUAGGGUUUUAGGGUUAGGAUUAGGUUAGGGUUUAGUGGUUUUAGGUUAGGGUUUAGGUUUAGUGGUUAGGUUUAGGGAUAUUGGUUUUAGGUCUAGGAGGUUCUUAGGUUUUAGGGUUUAGGGUUAAGGGUUUUAGGUAUUUUUAGGUUUUUAGGUAUUUAGGGUUUUAGGGUUUUGUUUUUAGAGCUUUAGGGUUUUAGGGUUUAGGGUUUAAGGGGUUUUAGGUAGGUUAGGGUUUAGGUGUUAGGGUUUAGGGUUUAGGUUUUAGGUUAUAGGUAUUAGGGUUUAGGGUUUAGGGUUUAGGGUUUGAGGGGAUUUAGCGGUUUAGGAUUUUUAGGGUUAUAGGGUAUUAGGGUUUAGGGUUUAAGGUUUAGGGUUUAGACUUGGGUUUUUAGGUUUAGGGUAGGGUUUUAGGGUUUUAGGGUUGUUUAAGGUUUUGAGUUUUAGGGUUUUAGGUUUUAGGUUUUAAGUUUUAGGGUUUUAGGGUUUUAGGUUUAGGGUUUUAGGGGUUUAGGGUUUAGGGUUUAGGUUUAAGGGUUUAGGGUUUAGGGUUUAGAGGUUUUAUGGGUUUAGGGUUUAUUGGUUAGGGUUUAGGGUUUAGGGAUUUUAGGGUAGUUGGUUAUAGGUUUAGGUUUUAGUGGUUUAGGUGGUAGUUUUAGGGAUUUAGGUAUUAGGGCUUAGGUUUAGUUUAGCGGGUUUAGGGUUUAGGUUUAGGGUUUAGGGUUUAGGAUGUUAGGGUUUAGGCUUUAGAGUUUUAGGUUUAGGGUUUAGUGGAUUUAGGGUUUAAGUGGUUUAGAGGUUUAGGGUUUAGGGGUUUAGGUUUAGGGUAUUAGGGGUUUAGGGUUCUAGGGUUUAGGUGUUUAGAGGGUUUUACGGGUUUAGCGGUUUAGGGUUAAUAGGGUUUUAGGGUUUAGGGUUUAGGUUUAGGGUUUAGGGUGUUAGUUUAGGGUUUAGGGUUAGGUUUAGGUUUAGUGGUUUAGGGUUUAGGGUUUAGGGGGGUUUUUAGGGAUUUAGUGUUUUAAGGGUUUUAGGUGUUUAGGGUUUAGGUGUUUAGGUUUUAGGGUUUAGGUUUAGAGGUUUAGGGUCUUAGGGUUUAGGGUUUAGGGUUUUAGGGUUAGGGUAUUUAGGUUUUAGGGUUUAGGGUUAGGGUUUAGGGUUUACGGUUUAGGGUUUUAGGGUUUAGGUUUUAGGGUUUAGGGUUUAGUGGUCUUAGUUUAGGUUAGGGUUUCGGGUUUAGGGUUUAGGUUUUUAGGGGUUUAGGUUUAGCGUUUAGUUUAGGGUUUAGGGUUUAGUGUUAGGGUUUAGGGUUAUAGGUUUAGGUUUAGGUUUAGGGUUUAGGGUUUAGGUUUAGAGGUUUAGGGUUUAGGUUUAUGUAGGGUUUAGGGUUUAGGGUAUAGGUUUAGUUUUCAGGUUUUUAGGGUUUAGGGUUAGUAGUUUAGGGUUUAGGGUUUAGGGUUAGGUUUCAGGUUUAGGUUUUAGGGUUUUAGGGUUAGUGAGGUUUAGAGGUUUAGUGGUUAGGGUUUAGGUUUAGGGUUUAGGGCUUUAGGUUUUAGUUCGGAAUAUUAGGGUUUAGGGUUUAGGGUGUUAGAAGGUAUUAGGGUUUAGGGUUUUGAGGCGGUUUAGGGUGUAGUUUAGCGGUUUAGGGUCUUUAGGGUUUUAGGGUCUUUAGGUUUUAGGGUUUUAGGGUUUAGAGGUUUAGGGUUAGCUGUUUAUAGGUUUAGGGGUUUAGCGGUUUAGGGUUUAGGGGUUUAGGAGUUUAGGGUAGAAUUUAAGGGGUUAUUAGGGGUUUGGGUUUAGGGUUUAUGUGGCUUUAGGGUUUUAGCGGUUUAAGAAGAGUUUUAGGGUUUAGGGUUUAGGUUUUAUGGGUUUAGGGGUUUAGCGGUUUAGAGUUUAGGGUUUGAUGUUUAGGGGUUUAGUUUAGGGUUUAGUUAGGUUUUAGCGUUUAUGGUCUUAGGGUUUUUAGUGGUAUAUAGGUUUGGUUUAGGUUUUAGUUUAUUGGUUUAAGGGUUUAGGGUUUAGGGUAUUAGGGUUUCAGGAGGUGUUAUUUUUUUUAGGGUUUAGUUUAGAGGUUUAGGGUUUUAGGUUUUAGUGGGUUUAGGUUAGCGGUUUAGGGUUUUAGGGUUUAGGAUUUAGGUUUAGUUAGGUAGUGGUUUAGGGUUUAGGGUUUAGUGUUUAUGGGUUUAUGGAUUUAACGAGUUUAGCCCUGGUUUAGGGUUUAGGUUUAGGGUUCUAGGGUUUAGGUUUAGGGUUUUUUAGGGUUUUUAGGGUUUAGGGUUUUAGGUUCUAGGUUAGGGUUAGGGUUUAAGGGGUUUUAGGGUUUAAGGAGAUUAGGGUUUUAGAGUUUUAGGGUUUAGUGUUAGGGUUUUAGCGCGUUUAGGGUUUAGGGUUUAGGGUUAGGGUUAGCCGGGUUUAGGGUUUAGGUUUUAGUCGAGUUUAGGGUCUAGAAGAGGUUUGAGGGGUUUAGGGUUUAGCGUUUAGGGUUUUAGGGUUUAGUAGUAUAUAGGGUUUAGGGGUUUAGGGUUUAGGGUUUAGGGUUUAGAGG
rnacentral:lncRNA from 1 species